CCUACGGGAGGCAGCAGUGGGGAAUCUUGCACAAUGGGCGAAAGCCUGAUGCAGCAACGCCGCGUGCGGGAAGAAGGCCCUAGGGUUGUAAACCGCUUUCAGUAGGGAAGAAAAUGACGGUACCUACAGAAGAAGGUGCGGCCAACUACGUGCCAGCAGCCGCGGUGACACGUAGGCACCAAGCGUUAUCCGGAUUUAUUGGGCGUAAAGAGCUCGUAGGCGGUUCGGUAAGUCGGGUGUGAAAACUCUGGGCUCAACCCAGAGAGGCCACCCGAUACUGCUGUGACUAGAGUGCGGUAGGGGAGCGGGGAAUUCCUGGUGUAGCGGUGAAAUGCGCAGAUAUCAGGAGGAACACCAGCGGCGAAGGCGCCGCUCUGGGCCGUAACUGACGCUGAGGAGCGAAAGCAUGGGUAGCAAACAGGAUUAGAUACCCUGGUAGUCCAUGCCGUAAACGUUGGGCACUAGGUGUGGGUCUCAACCAACGAGAUCCGCGCCGUCGCUAACGCAUUAAGUGCCCCGCCUGGGGAGUACGGUCGCAAGACUAAAACUUAAAUGAAUUGACGG
rnacentral:rRNA from 1 species